rnacentral:rRNA from 1 species
GAUGAACGCUGGCGGCGUGCCUAAUACAUGCAAGUCGAGCGAACAGAUGAGGAGCUUGCUCCUCUGACGUUAGCGGCGGACGGGUGAUUAACACGUGGAUAACCUACCUAUAAGACUGGGAUAACUUCGGGAAACCGGAGCUAAUACCGGAAAAUAUAUUGAACCGCAUGGUUCAAUAGUGAAAGACGGUUUUGCUGUCACUUAUAGAUGGAUCCGCGCCGCAUUAGCUAGUUGGUAAGGUAACGGCUUACCAAGGCAACGAUGCGUAGCCGACCUGAGAGGGUGAUCGGCCACACUGGAACUGAGACACGGUCCAGACUCCUACGGGAGGCAGCAGUAGGGAAUCUUCCGCAAUGGGCGAAAGCCUGACGGAGCAACGCCGCGUGAGUGAUGAAGGUCUUCGGAUCGUAAAACUCUGUUAUUAGGGAAGAACAAAUGUGUAAGUAACUAUGCACGUCUUGACGGUACCUAAUCAGAAAGCCACGGCUAACUACGUG